rnacentral:rRNA from 1 species
CCGCCUGUUUAUCAAAAACAUAGUUUUAUGAUUAUAUAUAAAAUAUUUUCUGCCCAAUGUAUUAAAAUAAAUGGCCGCAGUACCUUGACUGUGCUAAGGUAGCGUAAUCAAUUGGCUUUUAAUUGAAGUCUAGUAUGAAAGGGAUAAUGAAAUUUUUCUGUCUUAAAAACUUUAAUUAAAAUUUAUUUAAAAGGUGAAAAUACCUUUUUAAAAAAUAAAGACGAGAAGACCCUAUGAAUUUUUAUUUUUUUUGUUGGGGCGACAAUUUAACACUUUAAUCUUAAAUUAUAUAAAUAUAUCGAUUAUAUUAAUUUAAAAAAAAUUACCUUAGGGAUAACAGCAUUAUUGUUAAAACAGUUUGUGACCUCGAUGUUGGACUCGGAACUAUAAGGCUAGCCGUC